CCUACGGGUGGCAGCAGUGAGGAAUAUUGGUCAAUGGCCGUAAGGCUGAACCAGCCAAGUCGCGUGAAGGAAGAAGGAUCUAUGGUUUGUAAACUUCUUUUAUAGGGGAAUAAAGGUAUCCACGUGUGGAUAUUUGCAUGUACCCUAUGAAUAAGCAUCGGCUAACUGCGUGCCAGCAGGGGCGGUAAUACGGAGGAUGCGGGCGUUGGGGGGAUUGAUUGGGGUGAAAGGGUGCGUAGGUUGUUUUUUAAGUCAUCGGUGAAAGUUUGUGGCUCAACCAUAAAAUUGCCGUUGAAACUGGAGGACUUGAGUGUGUUUGAGGUAGGCGGAAUGCGUGGUGUAGGGGUGAAAUGCAUAGAUAUCACGCAGAACUCCGAUUGCGAAGGCAGCUUACUAAGCCAUAACUGACACUGAAGCACGAAAGCGUGGGGAUCAAACAGGAUUAGAUACCCCAGUAGUC
rnacentral:rRNA from 1 species